GUCACGUUAUCAAGGAGCGCGAAAAUUGGCAGAAAACUAAAGUUGUUUUGAUCUUUUAUGGUAAACAUAAAACUGUUCUGCGAUUUCAAGAAUAAUAAAAUAAUCCUUCUACAACAGAAGGGAGUGUCCAAGAUUUCAAUAUUUCUGAAGGGAGCUGCUGACAGAGAUGUAGGAAGCACUGAAAAGAUUCUCCAGUGCUGAUGGCCUGCUGCAUCCAGCAGAGUCGCAGUGAACCUACUGUAAGACAACAUCUCCAAGAUGCUAUUGACCACAAGACUAGUACAGGUUAUUAGAAACUGCACAGCACAGGACUUACAGGACUUGUGAGGACUUCAGAUGAUACCAGUACUCAAAAGACCUUAGAUGAUGGCAACUAUAGAUGGACAUACAAACUACCGCC